rnacentral:rRNA from 1 species
AUGUGUGCUCAUGCUGGCAUAAUUGGGACUACAAGGCCAACACACUACCAUGUUCUCCACGAUGAGAUAGGCUUCUCUGCUGAUGAGCUGGAGGAGCUCGUGCACUCCCUAUCCUAUGUGUACCAGAGGAGCACCACAGCAAUCUCAGUAGUUGCUCCCAUCUUCUACGCACACCUUGCAGCGGGCCAGGUGGCCAAGUUCACCAAGAUCGAUGAUAUGUCGGAGACAUCGUCCCAGGCUGAGGCUGCCCCGGUGCCGGAGCUGCCUCGUCUGCAUCCCAAUGUAGCGUCAACGAUGUUCUUCUGCUGA